rnacentral:rRNA from 1 species
UACAGAGGGGGCAAGCGUUGUUCGGAAUUACUGGGCGUAAAGGGCGCGUAGGCGGCCUGUUAAGUCGAACGUGAAAUCCCCGGGCUCAACCCGGGAACUGCGUCCGAUACUGGCAGGCUUGAAUCCGGGAGAGGGAUGUGGAAUUCCAGGUGUAGCGGUGAAAUGCGUAGAUAUCGGGAGGAACACCAGUGGCGAAGGCGAUCACCUGGGGUUGUUCUGACGCUGAGGAGCGAAAGCGUGGGGAGCGAACAGG